UUAACCGAAACCAAAAAGAGGUAUAUUAUUGUUAAUAAUAAAAAUGAAUUAAUAAUUCCGGUUAAG
rnacentral:tRNA from 2 species